GACGAACCGUGCGAACGUUAUUCGGAAUCACUGGGCUUAAAGCGCGUGUAGGCGGGAGGGUACGUCCGUCGCUGAAAUCCCCCGGCUCAACCGGGGAACGGGCGCGGAUACGGCCUUCCUGGAGGGGCGUAGGGGGACCUGGAACUUCCGGUGGAGCGGUGAAAUGCGUUGAGAUCGGAAGGAACGCCCGUGGCGAAAGCGAGGUCCUGGACGCCUACUGACGCUGAGACGCGAAAGCUAGGGUAGCGAACGGG
rnacentral:rRNA from 1 species